AGGUGAUCCGUGAGCCAGGUUAUGAACCUCAACCCAUCUUUGAAAGUACUAAUCUUGGUAGCUAUGGAGAAACAACAGAAACAGAUGACUAUCUUGAUGAUCCAGUACCAUCUUAUUCACCAAGACAUUCCAGGACAUAUUCAGCACCUGCACCUAGGGCUCCAAGCCCUAUCCUGUACAGAUCUUCCUUACGUGAUCGUUUCGAUGAGCGUCCUUACUCACCAUCCGCUGCAGACAGGAUACGAAGACGUGUAGACACUGCCUUAGCAAGAUCUCGUUCUCCAUCACCAUAUACCUCGCCUAGACUACGUGGCAGCCAUUACGAUUCACUGGAUGAUCUCGCAGUUGAGUUUGAGCUUGCAAGAGAUAGAGACAGGAGGUACUGAGCUGCGCUAAACCAGUGAGGUUCAUUUUCAGUUUAGAAGUGUGACACAUAUGUAGUUUCUAGUGCUCUUACACAAGCAAUACUAGCACAGCUUUUAGAUUUUAGUCUGAAAACUACCUCUGAUACAAUUAAUAUUUUGUUAGGAAUUUGUAAAGUUGUGACAAAAAAUUGGUGCUCUGAGGUGAGAUAUUAAAAUUCUGUGAUUAGGAAAACAAGUUCAUGAGCUAAUCACGUCAAAAAGUUUCUGAUGUCCUUAUUUAAAGCAGGUCACAUAAAUUAAAUACUGAAAAAUA